rnacentral:rRNA from 1 species
UCGGGUUGUAAAGCCACUUUCAGUAGGGAGGAAAGGUAAUGGUUUAAUACACCAUUGCUGUGACGUUACCUACAGAAGAAGGACCGGCUAACUCCGUGCCAGCAGCCGCGGUAAUACGGAGGGUCCGAGCGUUAAUCGGAAUUACUGGGCGUAAAGCGUGCGCAGGCGGUUUGUUAAGCGAGAUGUGAAAGCCCCGGGCUCAACCUGGGAAUUGCAUUUCGAACUGGCGAACUAGAGUCUUGUAGAGGGGGGUAGAAUUCCAGGUGUAGCGGUGAAAUGCGUAGAGAUCUGGAGGAAUACCGGUGGCGAAGGCGGCCCCCUGGACAAAGACUGACGCUCAGGCACGAAAGCGUGGGGAGCAAACAGGAUUAGAUACCCUGGUAGUCCACGCCGUAAACGAUGUCUACUCGGAGUUUGGUGUCUUGAACACUGGGCUCUCAAAGCUAACGCAUUAAGUAGACCGCCUGGGGAGUACGGCCGCAAGGUUAAAACUCAAAUGAAUUGACGGGKGCCCGCACAAGCKGUGGAUGCAUGUGGUUUAAUUCGAUGCAACGCGAAGAACCUUACCUACUCUUGACAUCCAGAGAAUUCGCUAGAGA